rnacentral:lncRNA from 1 species
AUGGGAGAUGAGGAUCUAACGCAAGCUCUACUUGGGCACCACUUGAGAAUACACGGUUGAUGUAGCUGCUACCCAGACCAGCUAAACCACCUAUGAUCAGGAGACCCCAGCAAUGAAGGGAGAUCAGGCGAAGAGCAAAAUGGACCAGGAUUCAGCUAAUCCAGCCUGAUGGAGUCACCUCAGCCUCACCUGCAGUAUGUGCUCAGGCUCUUCAUGUAAAAUGCCUGAGGCCUCUCUGAGGUGUCCCCUCUGCCUGCUCUUCUACAGCAGUGUCUUUGAGGGGAAAGAUGUGCACCAGCCAGCUUCCUAUCCUUUGCUGUGACAAAUGCCAGAGAUAAUCGAUGCAGCAGGAGGAAAGCUUCGUUCGG